UUAGGUUGGUGCAGAAAUAAUUGUGGUUUUUGCCACUAACAGUGAAGGCAAAACUCCAAUUACUUUUGCGACAACCUAGUACUU
rnacentral:miRNA from 1 species